CGCUCCGGUGGCCUAGUGUUUAGAGCAUCCGCCUCAGAUGCAGGAGGUCGUGGGUUCGAUUCCCUAUUGAGUAA